CUCUUCCUGCGGGCGCGCCAGAAAGACAGGCGCCAUCUCAGAGCUUCCUGCAGGACUCAGCAUCUGCACUACCCUGGGAUUCAGACACCAUUAUGAGGAUGCAGUGCUGAGUAAGACUGGCAAAGUUCCUGACAUCUGGUGCAGAGGAGAUUGACUCCAGAAGAAGGAGAUGAAGAAGCCUAGAUUCCAUAAUGCGGGAGUCCCAGAUCCUCAAAGUACGAUGAUUCGCCAAAUCAAGAAAUGAGGAUUAGGAAGCAGUCACCCUCGAAAGGAACUAAAUCAUCACCUUGGGAAUUGUGGCCAGUCAUGAGACAUGCAUGAGGAGACUGAAGGGGGUUUUUGCAGUGCCAGGUGUGGAUUGAGAUUCAGCCUUGUAAGACUUACUCACUGAAAACUGGAAUUUGCUUAGUUCCAAGGAUAAACUUUUCCACUGAAGCACAUCCUGGUACUGCCGACCUGUCUGAGAGAAUGAAGAUGUGAUGCUUGGAACUACUGCAGCCACCUUGGGACACGAGGGAAGUCAACACCAACAUGCUGAGGAUCUUUGAGCUGCUGCACCAACCUAAAACCACCUCUCUCCAGACUUCUUGUUGCAUUAGAAAGUUAAUUGUCUUUACUUUUAAAAUGCUUGUUAGUUGGCAUUUUUGUUACCUAUUGUCAAAAGCAUCAUAAUUAUUACAUCUAACUAAAUUAUAUGCCAUCUACUGUGGCAUAUAAUUUUCUUGCAAAAGGUCCACAUUAGGUUGACCAGAAAACAGAAAAACUUUUCUGAGAUUCAGAUGUUGUUCAAUGGGCUGGGCUCAGUCACUAGCUAAGUGACUUUCUUCUUGCACAAAGCCCUUUCAUAACAAGUGAAUUCAAUCCCUGCUUCUGAAGAAUGACAAAUUACUAUAUAUGGGUCUUCAGAGUGACUCAUGAAGACUGAAAGUUGUGAAGCCAUCCUGUCCUAGUUUAAAUCCAAGCUAUGACACCUCACAGUUAUGUGAUCCUGGGUGAAUUUACUGCUCUGCUUCAGUUUCUUUAUCUAUAAAAUGGAGAUAAUAAUGGUGAUAUGGUUUGGCUGUGUCUCCAUUCAAAUCUCAACUAAUUUUUUUUUUUUUUUUUUUUUGAGAUUGAGUUUCACUUUUGUCACCCAGGCUGGAGUGCAAUAGCAAGGUCUCAGCUCACUGCAACCUUCACCUCCCGGGUUCAAGCAAUUCUCCUCCCUCAGCCUCCCAAGUUGCUGUCAUUACAGGCACCCGACACCACACGGGGCUGAAUUUUUUUUUUUUUUUUUUUUUUUUUAAGUAGAGACAGGGUUUCAUCCUGUUGGUCAGGCUGGUCUUGAAGUCCUGACCUCAGGUGAUUUGCCUACCUUGGUCUCCCGAAGUGCUGGGAUUACAGGCAUGAGCCACCACACCGGCCUUCAACUUGAAUGUGUCUCCCAGAAUUCCCACAUGUGGGAGAGACCCAGAGGGACGUAAUUGAAUCAUGAGGGCCAGUCUUUCCCUUGCUAUUCUCAUGAUAGUGAAUAAGUCUCACUAUCUGAUGGGAUCUGAUGGGUUUAUCAGGGGUUGCCGCUUUUGCUUCCUCCUCAUUUUCUCUUGCUGCUGUCAUGUAAGAAGUGCCUUUGGCCUUCCCCUAUAAUUCUGAGGCUUCCCCAGCCAUGUGGAACUGUAAAUCCAAUUAAACCUCUUUUUCUUCCCAGUCUCAGGUAUGUCUUUAUCAGCAGCAUGAAAACGAACUAAUACAGCAAAUUGGUACCAGUAGAGUGGGGUGUUGCUGAAAAGAUACCCAAAAAUGUGGAAGCGACUUUGGAACUGUGUAACGGGCAGAGGUUGGAACAGUUUGGAGGGCUCAGAAGAAGACAGGAAAAUGUGGGAAAGUUUGGAACCUCCAAGAUACUUGUUGAUGGCUUUGACAAAAAUGUUGAUAGUGAUAUGAACAAUAAAGUCCAGGCUGAGGUGGUCUCAGAUGGAGAUGAGAAACUUGUUGGGAACAGGAGCAAAGGUGACUCUUGUUAUGUUUUAGCAAAGAAACUGGCGGGAUUUUGCUCCUGCCCCAGAGAUUUGUGGAACUUUGAACUUGAGAGAGAUGAUUUCGGUUAUCUGGUGGAAGAAAUUUCUAAGCAACAAAGCAUUCGAAAUGUGACUUGGGUGCUGUUAAAAGCACUACAUUUAAAAAGGGAAGCUAAGCAUAGAAGUUCAGAAAAUUUGCAGCCUGACGAUGUAGUGGAAAAGAAAACCCAUUUUCUGGGGAGAAAUUCAAGCCAGCUGCAGAAAUUUGCAUGAGUAGCAAGAAGCCUAAUGUUAAUCCACAAGACCACAAGACCAAAUGUCUCCAGGCCAUGUCAGAGACCUUCAUGGCAGCCCCUCCCAUCACAGGCCUGGAGGCCCAGGAGGAAAAAGUGGUUUCGUAGGCUGGGCCCAGGGUCCCCGUGCUGUGUGCAGCCUGUGCAGCCUAGGGCACUAGCCCUAGGCUCAGGCUGUGGCUUCAGAGAGUACAAGCCCCAGGCCUUGUUAGCUUCCACGAGAUGUUGAGCCUGCAGGUGCACAGAAGUCAAGAACUGAGGUUUGGGAACCUCCACCUAGAUUUCAGAAGAUGUAUGGAAAUGCCUGGAUGCCCAGGCAAAAGUUUGCUGCAGGGGCAGGGCCCUCAUGGAGAACCUCUGCUAGGGCAGUGCAGAAGGCAAAUGUAGGGUGGGAGCCCCCACACAGAGUCCCUACUAGGCCACUGCCUAGUGGAGCUGUGAGAGGAGGGCCUCUGUCCUCCAGACCCCAGAAUGGUAGAUCCACCGACAGCCUGCACUGUGAGCCUGGAAAAGCCACAGACACUCAAUGCCAGCCCGUGAAAGCAGCCAGGAGGAAGGCUGUACCCUGCAAAGCCACAGGGGCAGAGCUGCCCACAAUUAUGGGAACCCUCCUCUAGUAUCAGUGUGACCUGGGUGUGAGACCUGGAGUCAAAGAAGAUCACUUUGGAGCUUUAAAAUUUGACUGCCCCAUUGGAUUUCGGACUUGCAUGGGCCCUGUAAUUCCUUUGUUUUGGCCAAAUUCUCUCAUUUGAAAUGGCUGUAUUUCCCAGUACCUGUACUCCCAUUGUAUCUAGGAAGUAACUAGCUUGCUUUUGACUUUACAGGCUCAUAGGCAGGAGGGACUUGCCUCAUCUCAGAUGAGACUUUGUACUGUGGACUUUUGGGUUAAUGCUGAAAUGAGUUAAGACUUUGGGGGACUGUUAGGAAGGCAUGAUUGGUUUUGAAAUGUGAGGACAUGAGAUUUGGAGGGGCCGGGGCAGAAUGAUAUGGCUUGGCUGUGUCCCCAUUCAAAUCUUAACUUGAAUUGUAUCUCCCAGAAUUCCCACGUGUUGUGGGAGGGACCCAGAGGGAGGUAAUUGAAUCAUGGGGGCCAGUCUUUCCCGUGCUGUUCUUGUGAUAGUGAAUAAGUCUCACGAGAUCUGAUGGGUUUGUCAGAGGUUUCUGUUUUUGCUUCCUCCUCAUUUUCUCUUGCUGUCGACUUGUAAGAAGUGCCUUUCACCUUCUGCCAUGAUUCUGAGGCCUCCCCAGCCUAAGAAUGUGGAACUGUAAGUCCAGUUAAACUUCUUUUUCUUCCCAGUCUCAGUUAUGUCUUUAUCAACAGCAUGACAAGGGACUAACACAAAUGGUGUCGUCACAGGUCAAUGAGUUGUCACAUGAAAAAUGCUUAACACAGCGUCUCACACAUAUUAAGCACUAUGUUCAUAUUAUAAUUGUCAUUGUUAUUACUAAGUAUUACAUCUGAGAAUGCCAAGUGUCUGCUGAACAAUUUUUUAAAAAUCUUUUUGUAGAAAUAGGGUCUUGCCAUGUUGACCAGGCUGGUCUUGAACUCAUGACCUCAAGUGAUUCUCCUGCCUUGGCUUCCUAAAGUGCUAGGAUUACAGGCAUGAGCCACCAUGCCUGGCCAAACAAUUUUAAUAUCUAAAUCUUACCCGAACACCUGACCAUCCUUCAGAGGUGAUAGCAAUAGCUGAGUGGGCAUUUUAUGUGAGCUAGUGAUAGGGGAAUGAACUAGCAAUACUCCCUUUAUCCAUUCUUACCAAAUUCCACCAUUGUUUAGGGACAUAACCAGGUGGCUUGAACUCAUUUUUCCCAGAACAACAGUGGCAUGAUGCCAGCAGGCCCACUGUAGGUGUGUCACUGGUAGAGGAGCUAAUUUUGUAAGAAACAUGCCUCCAGUCUUCCGGUAUUCAUGAUUUCUUCACAUGGUUAUGUGUGGAUCCAGAUGGUCGGUCUAGCAUCCUGUAUGCCUCUGCUUCACAUUAGUUCUUAACUUUGUCAAACCAAUACCAGGAAAGAUACCAUGAAGCUCUCAGUGUCCACAUAUUCACUGGGUAGAGAAGUCUUCCUCAGAGACUGCCGUCUUCCUCUUUGUCUUUAAAACCUCAUCUGUUGUCUGAACAUCUGUAUGCAGCUUUGACAUGAGGCAUUUGGGGAUUUGAGUUGAUUUCUGAAGCUAAAUAUCCAGUGGGACCCAGUCCCUUCCAGAUGGAAAAGACAGCAACAAACAUAUCUAUUGAGCACAGUGAGCCCUGAACACUAAACUGGGCAUGUAUUGGGCAUAUGGGCAGAAGGAAAAGCCCCAGCUCCUUCUGGCUUCCACCCAGCAAUCCUUCUCUAGAGAAGCCAGGAUUCAGUGGAAAUUCAGCAACGGUGAGCACUUGACUUAUUCCCCUAGGGAUAUGGCGUAUUAGUCACCCCAUAAACAUUUAAUUAUAUUUAGCUAUAUUUUAUAAGCUGGCACAUUAUCAGAGCUGUCUCUCUCUGUUGCCCCAAGUGCCACUGUUUGAAAGUACCCAUAAGACCUCUUAACGUUAUGUCCCUCUUGGCUUCUGGUAAAACAUGGGCAUAUACAACAAAAGAAACUAGGAAAGGCAGAUGCUGCUGAGUUAGCCAAGAGUGCUUGCAGAAACCCCUUGAAGAAGGAAAUAUGUGUGUCAUUCAAGUGCGGUGUAAUUUUCAAAGGAUGUUACCCUAAUGAUGUGCAUAGAAAUGCCUGGGGACCCUGUUGACCACACACAUGCACAGACACACCCACACACCUGCACUCAAGAGAGGGUGAUUCUAUCAGUCUGGGCUAGGGCCCUGGAAUUAGCAUUUUAACAUUUCAUUGCAAUAUUAAUGUACAGAAAAGUACAAAAAGUAGACACCUCAAUUAAUUUUCACACCCAUGCAACCAGAACCCAGAUCAAGAAAGAACACUGCCAGCACCCUAGAAGUCUCUUUUUUUCCCUUUAUCACUACUUCUCUCCAACAGUUACUGUUUUGCUUUUUUUGUUUGUUUUUGUAGUUUUGUUUUUUUUUUUUUUUGAGACGGAGUCUCACUCUGUCACCCAGGCUGGAGUGCAGUGGCACGGCGCGAUCUCCACUCACUGCAGCCUCUACCUCCCGGUUCAAGCGAUUCUCCUGCCUCAGCCUCCCGAGUAACUGGGAUUAC
rnacentral:lncRNA from 1 species